rfam:Triticum aestivum genome assembly, contig: Triticum_aestivum_CS42_TGACv1_scaffold_288446_4AL
GAUAUACUCCCUCUGUUCGGAAAUACUUUUCGAAGAAAUGGAUGUACCUAAACGUAUUUUAAUUUUAGAUACAUUCAUUUUUCUUCAUUUCUCCAACGAGAAUUUUCGGACGGAGGGAGUAUAUG